AGCAGUUCACCUGACUUCUAGCGGGUUUCUGGGGAGGACCUGGAUCCAGCCUACCUUGAAUAAGAGCUGUGAGGGAGAUGGCUAUGACUUUUCUGGUUCCACCUAUCGUGGGAAUUCACCCUGGCUCCAUGAAUGUGUGACUAAUUUCCUGGACAGAAUCGUAAGGACUGAAAGGGACCCCUGGAGAUCAUUGUGUCCAACCCCCUGCUAAAGCAGUUCCCUACAGCAGGCCACACGGGAAAGCAUCCAGAUGGGUCUCGAAUGUCUCCAGAGAAGGAGAAUCCACAGCCUCUCUGGGCAGCCUGUUCCAGUGCUCUGUCAGCCUCACAGUUUUCAGUGCAAAAAUCCAUGCUUACCAAUGCAGCUCAUUAAUGCCUGAGAGCAACCUUCAAGUUACCUGUAAUACUCUCUGAAUCAGACAUGCAAUUUUAGCAUCUGUUUUUAUCUGGUAAUGGUGAGUAUCUAUGGCCUGUUUUCAGAGGUGACUUAUAUGCCUAAAUCCUAAUGAGUUAUUUUUAAGCUAGAAUGUCCUAGUUUCAGCUUCAGGUUCACCUACUGGACCUUGUUAUCAGUUCUGAGAGGAAAGACUGGUCAUUUUUAAUAACAUGGAAAAAAAAUAAUAAAGGGCAAAAAGGACAAUUAGAGCCCUUAAUGUUUACCAAGGGCAUGGAACCAUUAUAAGACUAAAGCAAGUGAUCAUUAGAGAUAACCUUUCUUCUUCUGGGAGGUACUGCUGUUAGGUAUACAAUGAAAUGGAACAGCACUCUGUCUUCGGGUCCAUUGAAGAGCCUUUGCUUUGUUUAAAUGACAUGUUUUUUUACACAGGGCUUGGUGUGCUGCCAUUAACAUGGUUUCACGCCUCCUUUGUGCUUUCAUUGCCCCAGGCCGAAUGGUUUCGGCAUUACAUGCUUCCUCUGAUAUGGAAUCUGACCAUACUGCUCCAGGCUACCUGGCCAGGAGUGGAAGAGACUGCUGUGGUUCCUGCUAACCCAGCCCCUGGGUGCUUCAUCUCCACCUGAGAUCUUCUGUAAAAACAAAUGCACAACGCUCCUGUGGGUGAACCAGUGAUGAGCCUGAUACCGUGGGCAGGGAAAUGUUACUGAUCUGUACUGUUAAAUGCAUAGCUCCAGUUUUUUGUUCUCUUCCUUGUUUGGGCAAAUUAACUUCCCCUGCAGCUUGCACUUUCCCCUGGCAGAUGUGCUAGCAGCCUUUCACUGUGCUCACAUCAACUUCAUGGCUGCUGGCAUGCCCACUACCAAACUUGCACCUGGAUUUGAGAACUUUGGAACAGAAGUCCAGGCAGAGCUGUGAGGGAAUUAUUGAAGAGUAAGAAAGGGUUCAGUAAAAAGGGGUCUGCAGUAACUAAGGGUAAAAGGAUUAGAAAUUGCUUACAGAAGCAAAUAUGCAGAGGCCACUAGAAGAAUGGGAUAAUAACAAGAUGGGUUUAGGACAAUGCGGGGUAGAAGAGAUAAAGAUGAGGGUGUGAAAACGGUUCAAAUACACCGGGCAAGGAGGUGGUAAGAUGUCCCCAAAGUUAGAACUGGUUCGGGGGCUACCCCUCCCUCAGGGUCAGAAGUUUACAGCGAGGAAGACUACGAGCCUUCAUCCAACCACCAUCAGGAGACCCCCCCACUGCUCACGACGCAUGCAUGAGGGGGAGGGACCGUAUGCUAAGGAAUCUCGGGAAUGUAAUGAAUAUGUAUACGAAUUCUGGGAAAAUCAUCGAUUAUGUAUUAGUUCUGCCUAUAUCUAUACCAAGGUUUUGUCCUGAUGGCAUGCAAGUUAGGAGGAGCUAUCCCCCCUGCAUCUGGCUCUGUGCAGCGUUGAUUAAAACAUACCUGAUUUAUAACUACUUUGUGGCUAUAGCAUUUGAUUCCGCA
ensembl:lncRNA